rnacentral:rRNA from 1 species
UACGUAGGGCGCAAGCGUUGUCCGGAAUUAUUGGGCGUAAAGAGCUCGUAGGCGGCCAGUUGCGUCCGCUGUGAAAUCCUGGGGCUUAACCCCGGGCGUGCAGUGGAUACGGGCUGGCUAGAGGCAGGCAGGGGAGAACGGAAUUCCCGGUGUAGCGGUGAAAUGCGUAGAUAUCGUAAGGAAGACCAGUGGCGAAGGCGGGUCUCUGGACAGUUCCUGACGCUGAGGCACGAAGGUCAGGGGAGCAAACGGG